CACUGUCCAAAGUAUCACAGGAACAAGGACACCAGCAGCUGCAGGAGGUUCUGCAGCUCUCCUGGUUUUAAUGCUGCUCACUGUCUUCUGCUGGAUCAGAAAAAAGAAGAUUCUCAGUCAGACUUCUUCAGCAUGUGACCAAACUGAGCAGCUCAGUCCUGGUCCUGUGUGUGAAGAUAUCUCAGCACAACCAAAGCAGGAGGAUGAAGUCCACUACAGCAGAGUCUACUUUAAAGAGAAGCACAAAGAUCUGCCCAGAGAACAGGAGCAGGUCCAUUAUGCUGCUGUGAGCUUUAGACAUAAACCGAGCUCUGAUGGAGCGUCUGGUGUCACUCAGGCAGACACACACACACAGAUCUACUCCAGUAUAAAAGUGUGAGAGGGACACUGUGCUGAACAACCCUUUAAACACAGUGUUUGUCAUACAUACAAAGACUGUAAAACUAAAUAUGAUUGUAAACCAGUCAGAAAUUAAAACAUUGUGUAUCAUUGAUGAAUUUUUCUUUUUGCUACUCCA